CAGGAUGAACGCUAGCGGGAGGCCUAACACAUGCAAGCCGAGCGGUAUUGUUUCUUCGGAAAUGAGAGAGCGGCGUACGGGUGCGGAACACGUGUGCAACUGCCUUUAUCUGGGGGAUAGCCUUUCGAAAGGAAGAUUAAUACUCCAUAAUAUAUUGAACGGCAUCGUUUAAUAUUGAAAGCUCCGGCGGAUAGAGAUGGGCACGCGCAAGAUUAGCUAGUUGGUGAGGUAACGGCUCACCAAGGCAAUGAUCUUUAGGGGCCUGAGAGGGUGAUCCCCCACACUGGUACUGAGACACGGACCAGACUCCUACGGGAAGCAGCAGUGAGGAAUAUUGGUCAAUGGGUGCAAGCCUGAACCAGCCAUCCCGCGUGAAGGACGACUGCCCUAUGGGUUGUAAACUUCUUUUGUAUAGGGAUAAACCUACCCUCGUGAGGGUAGCUGAAGGUACUAUACGAAUAAGCACCGGCUAACUCCGUG
rnacentral:rRNA from 1 species